rnacentral:rRNA from 1 species
UGGGGAAUUUUGCACAAUGGGCGCAAGCCUGAUGCAGCGACGCCGCGUGAGGGAUGAAGGCCUUCGGGUUGUAAACCUUUUUCGCUCAUGGUCAAGCCGCAGCUUUGGGUUGUGGUGAGGGUAGUGGGUAAAGAAGCGCCGGCUAACUACGUGCCAGCAGCCGCGGUAAUACGUAGGGCGCGAGCGUUGUCCGGAAUUAUUGGGCGUAAAGGGCUUGUAGGCGGUUGGCCGCGUCUGCCGUGAAAUCCUCUGGCUUAACUGGGGGCGUGCGGUGGGUACGGGUUGACUUGAGUGCGGUAGGGGAGACUGGAAUUCCUGGUGUAGCGGUGGAAUGCGCAGAUAUCCGGAGGAACACCGGUGGCGAAGGCGGGUCUCUGGGCCGUUACUGACGCUGAGGAGCGAAAGCGUGGGGAGCGAACAGG